rnacentral:lncRNA from 1 species
GUCAUCGAAUUACUAAUUGUACCAUAAGAGCUAUACUAGUAUUGAACAUAUUGGUGGCACAUUGUUAAUUGCACUUUUUUCAUUUCUUAAUAAUUGGCUGAGAUUAUCUAUUUAAGGAAAUGAUCAAAUUAUUGAAAAAAAUUGAUAAUUUGCACAUACUUUAUGAUAUAUAAACUAUGAUAACAUAAAAUUGUCACCUUAAUAUUUGAUGUUUAACUCAUGCUUUUUCAGAACAUUCGUUAGAUCCUUUCAUUAAUAAGUCAGUAAACCAAUUAAAAUAGGUAGAAAGAAAGAUUCAAUACCUAUGAGGAUCCUAAUAGGUAAAUCUUUGUUCUUCUCUUUGUGCCCCUUUUAGUUUUUUUAGCAUGGUAACAUCAAUAUGGAAGCCAAAGAUUUUGAAAACUUGAGACAGUAACCUGCCUGUUACAACUCCAAGACAAUCUGGGAUGUUUUUACUUUUUAGUUUUUUUUUUGUUUGUUUGUUUGGCUGGGUUUUGAUGUUGUUGUUUUGUUGUUGUUGUUCUAUGAUUCUUGUUCCUAGUUUGGUGGGAAGAAUAAUCAUUGUUCUUUAAAAAAAGAGGAGAAACAAAACAUCAAGUAAACCUCAGUGUUAUACAAAAUAUUGCCCAUCCCCUCUAACUGAGCCUUGUAACAAGCUUGUGGGAAAGAUAGUUUUUUUAAUCAAUAUUUCAAAACUGCAUAAUUAAAAACUAUACAUUUUUGUUAACAAAGCAUAGAACACAUUCAUGAAAUGUGAAUAAAAUCAAUAUCACUGAAAAAGAAUUACUUAUUGGAAUUUUAAUAUUCACUUUACUUCUCAGUGCAAAUCUAACUCCUAAAACAAUAAAACUUAGAACAUUAAUCUACUAUUAUAAAUUACUGGUCAUGGGGCUGGGGUUGUGGCUCAGUGGUAAAGCUCUUGCCUAGCAUGUGUAAGGCACUGGGUUUGAUUCUCAUCAUCACAUAUAAAAAAUAAAUGAAAAAAGGUCCACCAAUAACUAAUAAAAAAUUAAAAAUAAAUAAAUAAAUUACUGGUCAGGUGUCCACAAACCCUGAAAGACACAGGGCUUGCUGGUGGAAUAGUGGGAGGUAAUCACACUUGCCCCUUUCAAACUUUCAUCAUGGGCCUGGAUAUUUCUGAUUUAUUUCCAAUUUAUAGAAACACACUGUGUUAUGAAUUGGAAUGCACUUUCUCAUGAUAUCUCCAUUUCAAACAAAUAUCAUGAAAUGUAAUAUUUUAAGUACUAAAUUCUUAUAAUUUGAUCAAUUUGUGCUUGUAUUUGUUAUUUGUGUUUCUAACUUCAUUGCUAAUCUAAAGUUACUAUUGGGGAGCUCAGAUUUUAUAUGAAAUUGCUUACUUUAAUUUUAAAUCAAAAGUCAAA